rnacentral:rRNA from 1 species
CAGCUUGUUGGUGAGGUAAUGGCUCACCAAGGCGUCGACGAGUAGCCGGCCUGAGAGGGUGACCGGCCACACUGGGACUGAGACACGGCCCAGACUCCUACGGGAGGCAGCAGUGGGGAAUAUUGCACAAUGGGCGAAAGCCUGAUGCAGCAACGCCGCGUGAGGGACGACGGCCUUCGGGUUGUAAACCUCUUUUAGCAAGGAAGAAGCGAAAGUGACGGUACUUGCAGAAAAAGCGCCGGCUAACUACGUGCCAGCAGCCGCGGUAAUACGUAGGGCGCAAGCGUUAUCCGGAAUUAUUGGGCGUAAAGAGCUCGUAGGCGGUUUGUCGCGUCUGCUGUGAAAACCCGAGGCUCAACCUCGGGCCUGCAGUGGGUACGGGCAGACUAGAGUGCGGUAGGGGAGAUUGGAACUCCUGGUGUAGCGGUGGAAUGCGCAGAUAUCAGGAAGAACACCGAUGGCGAAGGCAGAUCUCUGGGCCGUAACUGACGCUGAGGAGCGAAAGGGUGGGGAGCAAACAGGCUUAGAUACCCUGGUAGUCCACCCCGUAAACGUUGGGAACUAGUUGUGGGGUCCAUUCCACGGAUUCCGUGACGCAGCUAACGCAUUAAGUUCCCCGCCUGGGGAGUACGGAAUCUCUAGAGGAU